rnacentral:rRNA from 1 species
AGCGUAGGCGGACUUUUAAGUGGGAUGUGAAAUACUCGGGCUCAACCUGAGUGCUGCAUUCCAAACUGGAAGUCUAGAGUGCAGGAGGGGAAAGUGGAAUUCCUAGUGUAGCGGUGAAAUGCAUAGAUAUUAGGAAGAACACCGGUGGCGAAGGCGACUUUCUGGACUGUAACUGACGCUGAGGCUCGAAAGCGUGGGGAGCGAACA